rnacentral:rRNA from 1 species
AUUGAACGCUGGCGGAAUGCUUUACACAUGCAAGUCGAACGGCAGCACGGACUUCGGUCUGGUGGCGAGUGGCGAACGGGUGAGUAAUACAUCGGAACGUGCCCAGUCGUGGGGGGUAACGUAGCGAAAGCUACGCUAAUACCGCAUACGAUCUUAGGAUGAAAGCGGGGGAUCGCAAGACCUCGCGCGAUGGGAGCGUCCGAUGGCAGAUUAGGUAGUUGGUAGGGGAAAGGCCUACCAAGCCGACGAUCUGUAGCUGGUCUGAGAGGAUGAUCAGCCACACUGGGACUGAGACACGGCCCAGACUCCUACGGGAGGCAGCAGUGGGGAAUUUUGGACAAUGGGCGCAAGCCUGAUCCAGCCAUUCCGCGUGCAGGAUGAAGGCCUUCGGGUUGUAAACUGCUUUUGUACAGAACGAAAAGGCUCUGGUUAAUCCCCGGGGCUCAUGACGGUACUGUAAGAAUAAGCACCGGCUAACUACGUGCCAGCAGCCGCAGUAA